UCCUGUGGGAGGUGGGAGGUGGGAGGGUCCCUUACCGGUGGGUCCGGGGCUGCCCUGCCGGAACCGGACUGGCCUCUCGAGGGCUCACAUGGUCCUCUCUGAACCCCCAGCCCCCAGAGGAGCCAUCGGGAGGGGAGGACGGAGCUGUGGCCGCCCCAGGCCCUCAGGAGACCCAGAAAGCCGUCCCAUCUCCGCCCUCAGUCCUCCAGGCCUGGGUGGCUGUGGACCCCGGAGUGAACAGUCCCGGUGCCUGGCUGCUGACCUGGCUGAGGAAGGGUGCGGCCAAGGUCAUCCCACAGCCCGUCCACGGCCCUGCAGCCUGCUCCGAGGGCCCCG